GCCCGGAUGGUCUAGCGGUAUGAUUCUCGCUUUGGGUUCCAUGGAACAGCAUGCGAGAGGUCCCCGGUUCGAUCCCGGGUUCGGGCC